CAGUCGCCGCGGGAAUACGAAGGGUGCAAGCGUUAAUCGGAAUUACUGGGCGUAAAGCGUGCGUAGGCGGUUUGUUAAGUCUGUUGUGAAAUCCCCGGGCUCAACCUGGGAAUGGCAAUGGAUACUGGCAAGCUAGAGUGUGUCAGAGGAUGGUGGAAUUCCCGGUGUAGCGGUGAAGUGCGUAGAGAUCGGGAGGAACAUCAGUGGCGAAGGCGGCCAUCUGGGACAACACUGACGCUGAGGCACGAAAGCGUGGGGAGCAAACAGGAUUAGAUACCCCGGUAGUCCCUGUCUCUUAUAC
rnacentral:rRNA from 1 species